rnacentral:rRNA from 1 species
CCCUUAGAUGUUCUGGGCCGCACGCGCGCUGCACUGACGGAGUCAACGAGUGCCCCUGCGUCGGGAGGCGUGGGUAAUCUUCCAAACUUCGUCGUGCUGGGGAUAGAUCUUUGCAAUUAUCGAUCUUGAACGAGGAAUUCCUAGUAAGCGCAAGUCAUCAGCUUGCGUUGAUUACGUCCCUGCCCUUUGUACACACCGCCCGUCGCUACUACCGAUUGAAUGGUUUAGUGAGGCCUCGGGACUGGCAUAUGGGCGCUGGCAACAGCACCCUCGUGCCGGGAACCUGGUCAAACUUGAUCAUUUAGAGGAAGUAAAAGUCGUAACA